UUCUAUUUAGUAGAUUAAUUAUUCAUUUUGAUGUAAUGAUGUGGCUUGUUAGGCGUUUACUAU
rnacentral:tRNA from 1 species